AUUGAACGCUGGCGGCAGGCCUAACACAUGCAAGUCGAACGGUAACAGGAAGAAGCUUGCUUCUUUGCUGACGAGUGGCGGACGGGUGAGUAAUGUCUGGGAAACUGCCUGAUGGAGGGGGAUAACUACUGGAAACGGUAGCUAAUACCGCAUAACGUCGCAAGACCAAAGAGGGGGACCUUCGGGCCUCUUGCCAUCGGAUGUGCCCAGAUGGGAUUAGCUAGUAGGUGGGGUAACGGCUCACCUAGGCGACGAUCCCUAGCUGGUCUGAGAGGAUGACCAGCCACACUGGAACUGAGACACGGUCCAGACUCCUACGGGAGGCAGCAGUGGGGAAGAUUGCACAAUGGGCGCAAGCCUGAUGCAGCCAUGCCGCGUGUAUGAAGAAGGCCUUCGGGUUGUAAAGUACUUUCAGCGGGGAGGAAGGGAGUAAAGUUAAUACCUUUGCUCAUUGACGUUACCCGCAGAAGAAGCACCGGCUAACUCCGUG
rnacentral:rRNA from 1 species